GUGGUUCGCCGCCAACGACGUCGCGAGAAGUUCACUGAACCUUAUCAUUUAGAGGAAGGAGAAGUCGUAACAAGGUUUCCGUAGGUGAACCUGCGGAAGGAUCAUUG
rnacentral:rRNA from 1 species